ACCAGAUUUUAUUUUUCUUGGACCAUAUCCUCCUGGUCCAGUCCCAGCACCACCAGGUCCAAAUCCCCCAGGUCCAGUCCCAGCACUACCAGGUCCGUAGCCUCCAGGUCCUGUUCCAGCACCACCAGGUCCAUAUCCUCCAGGUCCAGUCCCCGCACCACCAGGUCCAAAUCCUCCAGGACCAGUCCCAGCACCACCUGGGCCAUAGCCUCCAGGCCCUGUCCCGGCACCACCAGGUCCAAAUCCUCCAGGUCCUGUCCCGGCACCACCAGGUCCAAAUCCUCCAGGUCCUGUCCCGGCACCACCAGGGCCAUAGCCUCCAGGUCCUGUCCCAGCACCUCCAGGCCCAGUCCCAGCACCACCAGGGCCAUAGCCUCCAGGUCCUGUCCCAGCACCUCCAGGCCCAGUCCCAGCACCACCAGGUCCGUAGC
ensembl:lncRNA